GUUUGUUGAGGCGAAACGCGAUGGCUUUUGAAGCUAAAGGUACUGGGUUCGAGUCCCAGAGUGAACA
rnacentral:tRNA from 1 species